rnacentral:rRNA from 1 species
UACAGAGGGGGCAAGCGUUAUUCGGAAUUAUUGGGCGUAAAGGGCGCGUAGGCGGCCUGGCAAGUGGAAGGUGAAAUCCCUCGGCUUAACCGAGGAACUGCCCUCCAAACUGCUUGGCUUGAGUCCGGGAGAGGUGAGUGGAAUUCCCAGUGUAGCGGUGAAAUGCGUAGAUAUCUGGAGGAACACCGGUGGCGAAGGCGGCGUUCUGGACUGCAACUGACACUGAGGAACGAAAGCCAGGGGAGCAAACGGG